rnacentral:rRNA from 1 species
AAUGAACGUUGGCGGCGUGGAUUAGGCAUGCAAGUCGAGCGAGAAGUCCGCCUUCGGGCGGAUGGAAAGCGGCGAAAGGGAGAGUAACGCGUAGUUAUCUGCCCCGAGGUCCGGAAUAGUACGCCGAAAGGCGUAGUAAUGCCGGAUGAUAUCUGUAUCCCUCAAAAGAUAUGGAUCAAAGGUGUGAUUCCGCCUUGGGAGGAGACUGCGUACUACUAGCUUGUUGGUGGGGUAAUGGCCUACCAAGGCUUUGAUGGUUAGCGGGCGUGAGAGCGUGGCCCGUCUCACUGGGACUGAGACACUGCCCAGACACCUACGGGUGGCUGCAGUCGAGAAUCUUCGGCAAUGGACGAAAGUCUGACCGAGCGAUGCCGCGUGCGGGAUGAAGGCCCUCGGGUUGUAAACCGCUGUCAGUUGGGAGGAAGGCUCCGUGAAGAGCGGAGUUUGACCUAUCUUCAGAGGAAGUCCGGGCUAAGUUCGUG